GAUGAACGCUGGCGGCGUGCUUAACACAUGCAAGUCGAACGCAGUGGCGAACGGGUGAGUAACACGUGAGUAACCUGCCCUUGACUUCGGGAUAAGCCCGGGAAACUGGGUCUAAUACUGGAUAGUUGGGGAUGGACUCGCGGCCUAUCAGUUUGUUGGUGGGGUAAUGGCCGACCAAGACGACGACGGGGAGCCGGCCUGAGAGGGUGACCGGGCACAGUGGGACUGGGACACGGCACAGACUACUGCGGGAGGCAGCAGUGGGGAGUAAUGCACGAUGGGCGCAAGCCUGGUGCAGGGAGGCGGCGUGAGGGAUGAAGGCUUUCGGGUUGUAAGCCUAAUUCAGUAGGGAAGCGGUACCUGCAGAAGAAGCGCCGGCUAACUACGUGCCAGCAGCCGCGGUAAUAC
rnacentral:rRNA from 1 species